rnacentral:rRNA from 1 species
GAUGAACGUUGGCGGCGUGCCUAAUACAUGCAAGUCGAGCGAACGGACGAGAAGCUUGCUUCUCUGAUGUUAGCGGCGGACGGGUGAGUAACACGUGGAUAACCUACCUAUAAGACUGGGAUAACUUCGGGAAACCGGAGCUAAUACCGGAUAAUAUUUUGAACCGCAUGGUUCAAAAGUGAAAGACGGUCUUGCUGUCACUUAUAGAUGGAUCCGCGCUGCAUUAGCUAGUUGGUAAGGUAACGGCUUACCAAGGCAACGAUGCAUAGCCGACCUGAGAGGGUGAUCGGCCACACUGGAACUGAGACACGGUCCAGACUCCUACGGGAGGCAGCAGUAGGGAAUCUUCCGCAAUGGGCGAAAGCCUGACGGAGCAACGCCGCGUGAGUGAUGAAGGUCUUCGGAUCGUAAAACUCUGUUAUUAGGGAAGAACAUAUGUGUAAGUAACUGUGCACAUCUUGACGUUACCUAAUCAGAAAGCCACGGCUAACUACGUG